rnacentral:lncRNA from 1 species
AGUUUGCAGGCUGGCAAACAGGCUGGAAAAGCCCUUGAGAGACUCAGACAGCUCACGCCAUGCUUCAGACUUCAUAGACCUGGGAGACAUCCAGCUUUCUCCCCCAGAGAAGCCGCAGCCUGGUCCCUUCCCCUGCCACACCAUCUGGUCCACAGAAACACCAGACUUCCGUGUCUCUCAGCCCUAUAAAAAGCAACAUUCCUUAUCCUGUCUUCUCUCCACCAGUCCCUCCCGCCCACCCGUGUCUCCUCUCUCCUUGCCUUUGGUCUUUCUGUCUUAUUCCUUCUCCCCUGCCAAUCACUUCCUUUCUUCCCAACACUCCUCCUCCAUCUCCCCUCUGUGCACCUGCAGUGCUAUUCUUUGUCUAACGAUGAAAACAUCCUGAUGGGCUUCUAGAACAUUCGUAUGUCUGGAGGAGUCAGAGUCCUCCAGUACCGGGGUUGGCAAUUCUGCCUCCUUAGCUUCCAGGACAGCAUUUAUUCCGAGGCUUUGUGCGCCCUCUUGUGGUUUCUCCGUCAUGCCAACUCCCGCAGACAAUGGCUGCUUUGUCCAGGAGAGAGGAUUUAGAUGACAACUGGGCUUAAACCUCAGAAAUCUUCAAUCUCUGCUUCUUCAAACAGUUUGUAUUAGAAGGGUGGCUGGGAAAAAUGAAGUCCUUAUGCACGGAGCCACCGCGUUUCACGGCGAUGUUCACCUGGCCCAUGAAGAUCUCCGGACAUAAAACCAGGCAACAAAAUCAGGAUGCAACAGGCUGGAGGGGCAAAGCACAGAAGUGGAAUGGGUCCUGCCAUAGGAUGGUGAUGCGUCCGAUCUUGUGCAGGUCUUGUACACAGAAGAGCAGCAGCUGCAAGCUCAGGAAUGAAACGGCCACACCGUGCACAGAAGACAGUGCCCCAUGAUGGAUUCUCCGUUUCUUCCUCAGACACCCACUGUGAAGAAACACUUGAGUGUCACUGGCCAUGAGAGUCAUCUGGAUUUCAGUGAUAACUGGAUCCUCCUCCUGUUCCCAAGGCUACCCAUCAAUGUCUGUGUGCCAGAUGUUGCUGGGGCUGCUCAGUCCUGCAAGGCUCUGACGCCAGCCUUCUAGUAGAAGAAAUGUGCAGCUGAAAGCCUCUCUUAGUCUCUUCACUGAUAGCCAAUGGAAUGCCCAUUUGAGCCAAUUUGGGGGAAGAGAUUAUUAGCAGAAAUGAGGUAAACACUAAAAGGCAAAAUGGAUCACCUUCCAGAGUCAGCUGCCACCACUCUAUGACAGAUCAGCCACAUGAAAGGACAGUCAGUUAUUAUUCCCUCUCACUAUAUACAUUCAAAGUCAGCAGAUCUGUAAGAUAUUCCAGACAAAGCAUCCGUAGCAAAGAAUUAAGAUCUAAAUGCAACAAUUCAAAAGCCAGGAGAGAGACCAAGAAGUGCAUGAUAGCUUUAUUAUUCUAAAUUGCCCAUUUUAGCACCGAUUCUAAAAUUGAAAUAGAGCAAAUUCUGCCUC